AUACCAUGAUGAGGGCAUAUUCUCAAUAGAUCUUUAAACCGCUUCCAAGCUUCAUACAAAGAUUCACCAUCAUUUUGGCAAAAGUUAUUAAUUUCUCCCCUCAAUUU